rnacentral:rRNA from 1 species
UGGAUUAGGCAUGCAAGUCGCGCGCGAAAGGCCCGCAAGGGCUGAGUAAAGCGGCGGACGGGUGAGUAACGUAUGGACAACCUACCUCCAACCCGGGGAUAACAGCUGGAAACGGCUGCUAAUACCCGAUAGCUCCGGUAGCGAAUUUCGCAGCCGGAUAAAGGGGGGCAACUCCCAGUUAGAGAGGGGUCCAUAUCCCAUCAGCUAGUUGGCGGGGUAAUGGCCCACCAAGGCAACGACGGGUAGCCGGACUGAGAGGUCGACCGGCCACAUCGGGACUGAGACACUGCCCGGACUCCUACGGGAGGCUGCAGUCGAGAAUCUUCCACAAUGGGCGAAAGCCUGAUGGAGCGACACCGCGUGCAGGAUGAAGGCCUUCGGGUUGUAAACUGCUGUCACGCUAUAGGAACCAGCUUGGGUGAACAGUCCAAGCCCUGACUAAAGCGAAAGGAAGCGCCGGCUAACUCUGUGCCAGCAGCCGCGGUA